AUUGAACGCUGGCGGCAUGCCUUACACAUGCAAGUCGAACGGCAGCACGGGAGCUUGCUCCUGGUGGCGAGUGGCGAACGGGUGAGUAAUGCAUCGGAACGUGCCCUGAAGUGGGGGAUAACGUAGCGAAAGGUUACGCUAAUACCGCAUAUUCUGUGAGCAGGAAAGCAGGGGAUCUUCGGACCUUGCGCUUUUGGAGCGGCCGAUGUCGGAUUAGCUAGUUGGUGGGUAAAGGCCCACCAAGGCGACGAUCCGUAGCGGGUCUGAGAGGAUGAUCCGCCACACUGGAACUGAGACACGGUCCAGACUCCUACGGGAGGCAGCCGUGGGGAAUUUUGGACAAUGGGCGCAAGCCUGAUCCAGCCAUGCCGCGUGAGUGAAGAAGGCCU
rnacentral:rRNA from 1 species